CCUACGAGAGGCAGCAGUGAGGAAUAUUGGUCACUGGACGCAAGUCUGAACCAGCCAUGCCGCGUGCCGGAAGACGGCUCUAUGAGUUGUAAACUGCUUUUGUACGAGGGUAAACGCAGAUACGCGUAUCUGUCUGAAAGUAUCGUACGAAUAAGGAUCGGCUAACUCCGUGCCAGCAGCCGCGGUACUACGGAGGAUUCAAGCGUUAUCCGGAUUUAUUGGGUUUAAAGGGUGCGUAGGCGGUCGGAUAAGUUAGAGGUGAAAUCCCGAGGCUCAACUUCGGAAUUGCCUCUGAUACUGUUCGGCUAGAGAGUAGUUGCGGUAGGCGGAAUGUAUGGUGUAGCGGUGAAAUGCUUAGAGAUCAUACAGAACACCGAUUGCGAAGGCAGCUUACCAAGCUACUUCUGACGUUGAGGCACGAAAGCGUGGGGAGCAAACAGGAUUAGAUACCCGAGUAGUC
rnacentral:rRNA from 1 species